ensembl:piRNA 21ur-5174 ncRNA
UCAGUAGAAGAAGACUCUCAA